GCUCUAGUGGCGCAAUCGGUCAGCGCGCGGUACUUAUAAGACAGUAAACUGCGGAGUAAUGCCGAGGUUGUGAGUUCGAUCCUCACCUGGAGCA
rnacentral:tRNA from 1 species